UACGUAGGGGGCAAGCGUUGUCCGGAUUCAUUGGGCGUAAAGAGCGUGUAGGCGGCCAGGUAGGUCGGUUGUGAAAACUGGAGGCUCAACCUUCAGAGGUCGACCGAAACCAUCUGGCUAGAGUCCGGAAGAGGCGAGUGGAAUUCCUGGUGUAGCGGUGAAAUGCGCAGAUAUCAGGAAGAACACCAAUGGCGAAGGCAGCUCUCUGGGACGGUACUGACGCUGAGACGCGAAAGCGUGGGGAGCGAACAGG
rnacentral:rRNA from 1 species